rnacentral:rRNA from 1 species
CUUGUCGGCGACCGGCGCACGGGUGAGUAACACGUAUGCAACCUGGCCGUGACAGAUGGAUAACCGGGAGAAAUCCCGCCUAAUACAACAUAAUGCCGGGAGGGGACAUCCCCUGCCGGCCAAAGGGGGCGACCCCGGUCACGGAUGGGCAUGCGGCGCAUUAGGUAGUUGGUGGGGCAACGGCCCACCAAGCCGACGAUGCGUAGGGGUUCUGAGAGGAAGGUCCCCCACAUUGGAACUGAGACACGGUCCAAACUCCUACGGAAGGCAGCAG